UCUGGUAUUCUUAUUUUGAGCUGCAGCAC
rnacentral:piRNA from 1 species